GACGAACCGUGCGACCGUUAUUCGGAAUCACUGGGCUUAAAGCGCGUGUAGGCGGACGGGGACGUCGGUCGCUGAAAUCCCCCGGCUCAACCGGGGAACGGGCGCCGAAACGCCCCGUCUCGAGGGACGUAGGGGGACCUGGAACUUCCGGUGGAGCGGUGAAAUGCGUUGAGAUCGGAAGGAACGCCCGUGGCGAAAGCGAGGUCCUGGACGUCUUCUGACGCUGAGACGCGAAAGCUAGGGGAGCGAACGGG
rnacentral:rRNA from 1 species